CUACAAUCCCGAACUAUCGCCUUGUGCAAGCAGGGAGGAAAGUCCGGACAGCAUAGGGCAACCCACCGGUGAAGAGCCGGGUGUUUCUUUUGAAGCAACAGACAGUGCCACAGAAAAUAACCGCCUUAGGGUAAGGGUGAAAACGUAAGGUAAGAGCUUACGAUGUAUUGCAGCGAUGCAACAUAUGGGUAAACCUUGGGGGCUGUAAUGCCACGUAUAGGUUCGUCUGAAAGCGGCCCGCUUUCGAUUCCACCGGUGAGUGGACACGAACCAGGGUAGGCAGCAACAGGUAAACAGCAAUGUUUAUCGCAGAUAAAUGAUAGUGUAAAAACAGAAUCCGGCUUACGAGGUUUGUAGUUUU
rnacentral:RNase_P_RNA from 1 species